AAUAGAGUGCCUGAUUAAAGGGCUAUCUUGAUAGGGUAGAUCAUGUACUCACGUACCUCUAUUA
rnacentral:tRNA from 1 species